CUUAUGGUCUCUGUGGCCUUUUUUCGGUCUCUGUGGUCUCUCUAGUCUUUUUUUGGUCUCUAUGUGGUGUAUAUGGCCUCUAUGGUCUCCUUUUGGCCUCUAUGGUCUCCUUUUAGCCUCUGAUCUCUAUGAUAUUUUUUGGUCUCUGUGGUCUCUAUAGUCUCUACAGUCUCUGUGGUCUUUGGUCUCUAUAGUCUCUGCAGUCUGUACACUCUUUUGGUCUCUAUGGCCUUUUUUUCGUCUCUGUGGUCUCUGUAGUCUCUUUUUGGUCUCUGUGGUCUCUAUAGUGCUUUUUUGGUCUCUAUGGUGUGUACAGGCUUUUGGUCUCUAUGGUCUCUACAGUCUGUACAGGCUUUUGGUCUCCUUUUGGUCUCUAUGGUCUUUUUUGGCCUCUAUGGUCUCUAUGGUCUUUCUACUCUGUGAUCUCUAUGGUAUUUUUAUGGUCUCCAUGGUCUCCAUAGUCUCUAUAGUCUCUAUAGUCUCAGUGGUCUCUUGGUGUCUCUAG
rnacentral:lncRNA from 1 species